UACGUAGGGUGCGAGCGUUGUCCGGAAUUAUUGGGCGUAAAGAGCUCGUAGGCGGUGUGUCGCGUCGGCCGUGAAACCUGCAGCUUAACUGUGGGCUUGCGGUCGAUACGGGCAUCACUGGAGUUCGGCAGGGAGACUGGAUUCCUGGUGUAGCGGUGAAAUGCGCAGAUAUCGGGAGGAAGACCAGUGGCGAAGCGGGUCUCUGGACAGUUCCUGACGCUGAGCACGAAGGUCAGGGAGCAACGGGAUUAGAAAACCCAG
rnacentral:rRNA from 1 species